rnacentral:rRNA from 1 species
GACGGGGGGUGCAAGCGUUGUUCGGAAUCAUUGGGCGUAAAGCGUGUGCAGGUGGCUCUGCAAGUCAGAUGUGAAAGCCCCGGGCUUAACCCGGGAAGUGCAUUUGAAACUGCAGAGCUUGAGUAUGGAAGAGGGUCGUGGAAUUCCAGGUGUAGUGGUGAAAUACGUAGAUAUCUGGAGGAACACCGGUGGCGAAGGCGGCGACCUGGUCCAAUACUGACACUCAUACACGAAAGCGUGGGGAUCAAACAGG